GAAGAACGCUGGCGGCGUGCCUAAUACAUGCAAGUCGAACGAACAGAUGAGGAGCUUGCUCCUCUGACGUUAGCGGCGGACGGGUGAGUAACACGUGGAUAACCUACCUAUAAGACUGGGAUAACUUCGGGAAACCGGAGCUAAUACCGGAUAAUAUAUUGAACCGCAUGGUUCAAUAGUGAAAGACGGUUUUGCUGUCACUUAUAGAUGGAUCCGCGCCGCAUUAGCUAGUUGGUAAGGUAACGGCUUACCAAGGCAACGAUGCGUAGCCGACCUGAGAGGGUGAUCGGCCACACUGGAACUGAGACACGGUCCAGACUCCUACGGGAGGCAGCAGUAGGGAAUCUUCCGCAAUGGGCGAAAGCCUGACGGAGCAACGCCGCGUGAGUGAUGAAGGUCUUCGGAUCGUAAAACUCUGUUAUUGGGGAAGAACAAAUGUGUAAGUAACUAUGCACGUCUUGACGGUACCUAAUCAGAAAGCCACGGCUAACUACGUG
rnacentral:rRNA from 1 species